rnacentral:rRNA from 1 species
AGGACGAACGCUGGCGGCGUGCUUAACACAUGCAAGUCGAGCGGAAAGGCCCUUCGGGGUACUCGAGCGGCGAACGGGUGAGUAACACGUGAGCAACCUGCCCUUAGCUUCGGGAUAGCUCCGGGAAACCGGAGUUAAAUACCGAAUAUGACUGCGGCUGACAUCAGCCACGGUGGAAAGUUUUUCGGCUAGGGAUGGACUCGCGGCCUAUCAGCUAGUUGGUGAGGUAACGGCCCACCAAGGCGACGACGGGU